rnacentral:rRNA from 1 species
GACGAACCGUGCGAACGUUGUUCGGAAUCACUGGGCUUAAAGGGCGCGUAGGCGGGUUCGCAAGUCUGUGGUGAAAGCCUCCAGCUUAACUGGAGAAGUGCCGUGGAUACUGCGAAGCUUGAGGAGGGUAGGGGCGUCUGGAACGGUCGGUGGAGCGGUGAAAUGCGUUGAUAUCGACCGGAACUCCGGUGGCGAAGGCGGCAUCCUGGACCAAUUCUGACGCUGAGGAGCGAAAGCCAGGGGAGCAAACGGG